AGUGAACGCUGGCGGUAGGCCUAACACAUGCAAGUCGAACGGCAGCACAGGGGAGCUUGCUCUCUGGGUGGCGAGUGGCGGACGGGUGAGGAAUACAUCGGAAUCUACUUUUUCGUGGGGGAUAACGUAGGGAAACUUACGCUAAUACCGCAUACGACCUACGGGUGAAAGCAGGGGACCUUCGGGCCUUGCGCGAUUGAAUGAGCCGAUGUCGGAUUAGCUAGUUGGCGGGGUAAAGGCCCACCAAGGCGACGAUCCGUAGCUGGUCUGAGAGGAUGAUCAGCCACACUGGAACUGAGACACGGUCCAGACUCCUACGGGAGGCGGCAGUGGGGAAUAUUGGACAAUGGGCGCAAGCCUGAUCCAGCCAUACCGCGUGGGUGAAGAAGGCCUUCGGGUUGUAAAGCCCUUUUGUUGGGAAAGAAAUCCAGCUGGCUAAUACCCGGUUGGGAUGACGGUACCCAAAGAAUAAGCACCGGCUAACUUCGUGCCAGCCGCCGCAGUAA
rnacentral:rRNA from 1 species